rnacentral:rRNA from 1 species
UACAGAGGUCUCAAGCGUUGUUCGGAUUCAUUGGGCGUAAAGGGUGCGUAGGUGGUGAUGCAAGUCUGGUGUGAAAGCCCCGGGCUCAACCUGGGAACUGCAUUGGAAACUAGCGGGCUGGAGUGUGGCAGAGGGGGGUGGAAUUCCACGUGUAGCAGUGAAAUGCGUAGAGAUGUGGAGGAACACCGAUGGCGAAGGCAGCCCCCUGGGCUAACACUGACGCUCAUGCACGAAAGCGUGGGGAGCAAACAGG